AUGAGCUAAGGUUCCCGCGAGUGGGGAAGCGCGAGGUCAAAUCUGGGGCCACGCCCCCAGUCCUGUGGCGCAACUCCCCGAACACGGAAAAAAAAGGCGCAGUGGGGGUUCUGCUGUGUUUGCGAGUGAGGGUCGUGAGUGCAACGGGCGCAAGGCAUAAAGGCCAGUGUGUUAGUACGCGGGCAGGCUCGCGUGACCCUGGGGUUGCUGUGUGAGCGGCCCUCGUGGCGCGGGAGGUGAUGCGUUUGCGCAGGCGUGCGCCCCUGGCGUCGGGACUGGGACUCCGGAUUUCUGUGGCGACUGAGGCGCUCUUACCUUUGCGUCCUGAUCUCCAAGCAAGCACACUGACCUUCAGGCAAAUACGCACUGUUAAUUUUCCAGAAAGUUCUGUGGGUAAGGUUUAUACCUCUCGAGUCUGCCACUAGAUGCCGCCAAAUCCCAGCAAAGGAUUGGCUGUUUGGUCCCUGGGAUUCUGGGAUUUUGUUUCCCUCCCCCCUCCCCUUUCUGAUUUGCUGAACGGUACUAUCUAUAGGCAUCAUGGAUAUCGUUCAUUCCUAGGAAAAAAUAAAAUCAACUUCUGUAAAUAGCACUAGUAGGCAGGUGACUGUGACCCAAGAUCCAAAUAAUUUUGCUCAUUUCUUUCCUUUUCUCCUUGGAAAAAAAAAAAAAGGCCCCUCUCCAUCCCUCUCUUCUUUUGUCCUUGCCUUGUUUAAUCAAAGAGUUAAUGAAUGACCCAAGCACUGAUGCUGAAGAUCCUAACCCUUUUUCCUCACCUUUUCAAAUGCUCGCAACUCACCAAAACUGAAAAUACAGAUAGCUGUUCCGUCAGUAAAGAUAGAUAAGAACUCAUCAGUAAAACUUGGACCCUGGUAUUGAAAACUGAUUUUCCUUUUCUCUUGAAAUUUGUAUCAGAUAUGUGUUUUUGCACCCUGUUUUCUGUAGUGGUAUUGGUAAACUUUAUUGUGUCUUUGGAGUAAGAGAAAGAGACCUAAUUGUAAACCUCAUUGCACCACUUACUAGUCUCAGUACCCUGGGCAAAUGACUUAUGUUCUGUGAUCCUCAGUUUUUUGUAUGCUUUCUAAAUUUUAGAUGCUGUGUUAUAUCGUUCACGUCGAUUUUUUUAUUCAUCACCAAGUCCUUAUUAGAUGAGCACUACUAGAUCAAAGUCAAACAACAAAAAUCAUACCCCUUUCAAUUAUCUUAUACACUUGUACACCACACAAGAGGGAUUUUUUUAGAGCAGUGGUUCCCAAGGUAUGUUUCCUGAAUGUACCAGAAACAUCAGCAUCACCUGAAAAGUUGUCAGAAAUUCAGAUUCUCAGGUCCCACCUCAAACUUAAUGAAUCAAGUUCGCAGGGUGGGGUUUGGUAAUCUGUGUUAUUACAAACUAUCCCAGUGAUUCCAGCACACACUGAAGUUUGAGAGCCACUGCUUUGGAGAGUAGAAAUGCAAUGCAUAUUUUUGUGCACACCACUAGAGGGUGCUACAGAAUGUAAAGCAAAAUAAUAAAUGAUGCACAGUAUAUGUUUUCAGACACCCUCCAUAUUAUCAGUCCUAUUUUACAGAUUAAAAACUAACGUGUAAAGAUGUCAAAUUAUUUUCUUAGUGUACGUAACAAGUAUGGGAACCAGGAUUUGAACUUCACCUGCCUCUAGCCCAAGCCCCUAAUAGUACUCUGUUGUUUAACCAUGAUGACUUGUCUUUCCAAGCCUCAAAAUACAUUAGAAAUAUCUUGUUCCCUGCUUUGGCUAAUGUUGACUGGAGUGUCAAGAAGAGUGCAGGAAAGCAAACCAAGCUGUUGCAACCUCACCAGAACAGCUGAAGAAUGAAUUUCAGCCUGGACUCUACCUUAUUAGUUGGGCACCCUUGGGGAGGGUGCAACCUGCCCAACAUUUUCUGCUCGCCCUGUCUUACCUCAUGACUAAGAGAGCCUUUCUAGGUCUGGAAGGUAGCGGUCAGUCUGUUCUGGAGGGUGGAGAGAGACACCAGUGUUUUCCCAUGGUUUCUGGGUAGUAGAUAAAAUUGGUCUAUUCUAAGGUUAAUUUGAUAUUUUAAAAUUUUGGUUCUGACUAGCUUAUUGGAUUUUUUUGAAUAACGUUUGAUUAAUGUAAAGGUUAAAAAUAAAACCUAAUAUUUCAGCUAA